GACGAACGCUGGCGGCGUGCUUAACACAUGCAAGUCGAACGAUGAAGAAGAGCUUGCUCUUCGGAUUAGUGGCGAACGGGUGAGUAACACGUGACUAACCUGCCCCUUUCUCUGGGAUAACGCUCCGAAAGGAGUGCUAAUACCGGAUACUCACAUCGAGGCACAUGCCUUGAUGUGGAAAGUUUUUCGGAAAGGGAUGGAGUCGCGGCCUAUCAGCUUGUUGGUGAGGUAACGGCUCACCAAGGCGACGACGGGUAGCCGGCCUGAGAGGGCGACCGGCCACACUGGGACUGAGACACGGCCCAGACUCCUACGGGAGGCAGCAGUGGGGAAUAUUGCACAAUGGGCGAAAGCCUGAUGCAGCGACGCCGCGUGAGGGAUGAAGGUCUUCGGAUUGUAAACCUCAUUCAGUAGGGACGAAGCGAAAGCGACGGUACCUAAAGAAGAAGCACCGGCUAACUACGUGCCAGCCGCCGCGGUAA
rnacentral:rRNA from 1 species